rnacentral:lncRNA from 1 species
UCUGUUUUUAUUUUUUUUUUUUUUUUUUUGAUUUUUUUUUUUUCUCUUUUAAUCUUUCUUGCUUCAAUGUUCUCUAUAUGUUCUAAUUACUUGUAUCUCCUAUAGACUACGUCGUUAGGUGAUAAUAUUCGUAUUCUCUGUUCACGCUCUGAUAGUAACUCUCCCCGCCUCUGUAAUAUACGAUGUUCGGGCAACGUACCGGCCCUCCUCAUAUGAUCUCCAUCCACUUAUCGUCAACUCACCGGUGCGGACACCAUACAGUGUGUCGGGCAGAGCCAUAACGGCAUCUCACUUACCACGUCACCCAACUCCCGCUAUAUUGUCUCUUAGGGAUAGGGGCAGUUGGACCAGGGCAGACUUGGUCUAGGUCUUAACGCUCGACGCGUCCCCUGGCAGCUCCUCCCUUGGCCUAGCAAUCCAGCCCAUUAGGAGCCUUGGCCCAGCGGCUGGGGCUCAGUAAAUAAAAUCCCCUUUCAUGGCAAAGGGGCAGGUAUUCUAACUCACAUCUGAUAAUCAUUCUGUACCUUUUCUGACUUAAGCAUUGGAGCACCUUGCAGCAGGUACCACCCUCUCACUUUCAUUCUCUGGCCAUUCACCAAGACCUUGGAAGGCCCUCCUGAUCAGGUAAGAUCAGUGGCGGCCGUCUGUGGGAACCAGCUAUCCCCAUCUUCAUCAAACGAGGAUCAAAAGCUCAUUUAUUUCUGUCUCCAACAUGGCCGGAGAAACAACAUACGCAUCACAGCCGUCCCCUCGUCAACUACAGAUAUGACGACGGCCCGCCAUCCCAUGAAAAACGGACGCUCGGGACGGUCAUCCAUCCACCCCGUCUCAGAGCCCACAAACAACGGGGAAUGCCUCUCACGCCCAACAAUUAGGGCGAGACAUUCAUCCAUUCCCGUUCCCGUGAAGGAGACGCCGUAAUGAUUGCAUGGUGAAUGCCCUCAAUCAGGCCGUUCUAUGCUCCACCACAGCACGAACGAAUCAUGGCCCUCGAAGCCGACCGACAAAGAGGCCCGACCCAGCCGGUGAGUAGUGAUACAACAACGUUCGGAGCCAACGAAGAAGCGAAGGACGUCGCUCUCACAGAACCCACGUCACAGGGCACGCGCGCCCGUCGUGACGGUGUGAGCGGGAACAUCACCAAGGCGCGGACACAGCCCCGACAACAACGAACUGUCUCCCCUUAAGGAGCGACGAGGAAAGAAUUUGCAUUGCCCCCUAUCUCGGCAAUAAUGGAAGCCGCUCCCAAAGGCAUGGAGAAACCACAAUCUAGCUGUGUAACGACACAAAAACAACCAAAACACAACACAAACGGAACUACAGAUCCCNAUAUAUAUAUAUAUAUAUAUAUAUAUAUAUAUAUAUAUAUAUAUUGACUGAAUAAUGUCGAGAAUGUUAGUCAUUGUCCAUUCAAUUACCUUUUUGUGUUUCUUAAAUACUUGUAACAAUUUUUGUUUAUUUUCAUAUUCAAAUUUAGAUGGAAUUGUUACAUGAAAAAAAUUUCAUCUGAUUCUAAAAAUACAUAUUUUAAAUUUGUAGAGAGUGAUUUAAGCUCUAAAGCAUGUGGUUGCUCAAUGGAAGACAAAAUUUUGACACUAAAAACUACAUUUACAUACGAAAUAUCAAUUUUGUCGGUAGAUAUUUUUAUAUAGAGCUAGCUCAUGCAGGGAUAUUAAAAAGAGUGUGAUAAUUAAGAAUAAAUCCUAAAAUAUUUAGCUACAAUUUUGAUAUAGAUUUUGAGAGUUAAGACCUAAUUAAGAAUUCUAACAUAGGAAUUACAAUAAUUCGUUUGAAUAAAAAAUAAUAAAGGAAAACUAAAGAAAUAGACAAAAAGUAAGUCUAAGACAAAAUGAGUUCUACCAAGUAGGGGUGAGAAUAUCUUAAACUAAGUUAGACUUUAUUAAACUUAAGCCUCAUCCUUAAAAAAAAAUCAAAGCAUGAGUCUAACAUAUACUACAUCAUAAGUUUACUUUUAGGCUUGAGUCCAACAUUUGUGAAGAUGGUAACCUACUCAAAAGCCUAUUUUAUAUAGACAUAUGUAAAUAAGAAAUUAAAAUUUAAAUAAUAUUUAAAUAGAUUAACAAAUUAAAAUAUCAAUGAGAUUAAAAAUUGAUUGCAUUAUUUAUCUGAACUUAUCUAUUAUCAUAAAUUUUGUGAGAUUAAUUUUUUAAAGUAACUUAUGGAACAUUGUUCUUAAAGGUGUUUUCAACUUAUUUAUAUAAGUUAUCCAAGAUAGUUAAAUUUUUUUUUUAUAUUUUAAUUCAAAGUAAAAAAAUAUAAUAAUAAUAAUAAUAAUAAUAAUAAUAGUAAUAAUAAUAAUAAUAAUUUAAAUAUGUUGACCUAAUAGAUUUAAAUUAAUUUUUUAUGACCAGAGAGAAGUCUAGUCUUUUUAACAAAAUAAACUCAUAAAAAAAACAAUGUCUUUUCUAUUUAAAUAAAAAAUCUAAUAUGAUCUAUAUUAUGUAAACUAGAUCCUAGAAAUCUAUUCUCACUUGUAUUCUCAAGCUUCUGAACCAAAAUUCUAAGUUAUGCCAAAAUUUAAUACUCUCCUUAAUUAGAAUUUGAUUUAUUUAGAAAGAGUAAAGUAGUAAAAAUAUGAGUGAAUAUAGAAGAAAGACCGGAGAAGUUAGUUCAAUAAGUCUUUUCUUGGUCACCACUUAAUUGGAAAAAAAAUGAUGUUCAAUUAGGAUAUUUAAAUUUAAAUCAAUAUGAAAAAAUUAUAAAUCAAUUUAAAAAAUGAAAAUCACAUAAUGAAAUAUUAUUUUAAUGUAAUUUUAUAAAAAAUCUUUGGAUUAAUAAGAAUUUUAAAUUAAUUUUUCAACACUAAAUCAAAUUAUAUAUAUUUUAUUAUUUAUUUAUUUUUAUUAGCAUAAUACAUAAUAAUCUAUUAUUAAUUUGUUUUUUAAUAUUAUUAUUUUUUAAAAACUGUUGAUUUAUAAAUGUCAAUAAUUUGAUUACAUUAAUAUAAAAAUAUAAAUAAAUAUUAUCGUAAAUAUUGAACUAUAGAUCAAUAGUUGAUUCAUAAAUAUUAACAACUUAUUUAUAUUUAUUAAUUUAAUUUAAAUUAUUUUUAUUAUUUAAUAUUUCGUAAUAUUACUUUUUUUAGUAUAUGAUAUAUUAUAUACUAGAUACAAAUCACUAUUUUAUCAUAUUUUGAUAAUAUUAAUACAAACAAAAAUAUUUCACUAAAAAAAUUAGAAAAGUUAUAUCAAUUAGAGAAGUGUUUUUAUGACUGUUUCCAACCGUCAUAAUUUACAGAAAAUUGACUCAGAAAAGUGGUGGUUUCAUAUUAACCGCCGCACUAACCUCCAUAAUGUACAUUAAUUUUAUGCCAUAAUUAUAUCGGUUUUGUAUGUGUUACAGAAAAAACAACUACUGCAAAUUAAAAAAUUAGUAAAAUGUUAAAGAAAAAUAAGAAAAAAGUUUUUAAAUAAAACUAUGCCUGCCCUCUUACGUUGAAAGCCAACAAGAAUGCGUAAUAUCAAAAGAAAAUAAAUAAAUUAUUAACAAUUUAUUUCGUACAAUAGAAUCAAAUAAAUAUUUUUUAAAUAAAUAUUUUUUAAAGACAAUAUAAAAGAUUUCGAUUCAAAGUGAUGGAGAUAAUAGGAGAAGAAAGUAAUUCAAAGUGUGUUUUAUUUUUAUUUAUUUUUCUACCUUAAACAACCUAUACCUUUUGUGUCAGUUGGGUUAUGUCAAGUAGCAUCUUGAAAAUAGCUUAUCUCCGAUAUUCUAGACUCCUACAUCACAUUACAAACCAUUAAUGCCACAUUUACAGUCAUCCUUACUAUUUUUUCUUUAGUAGCAAUAAUGACAUGUCUACGUGCAUAUAUUGUUAUAUGAGUAAACAAUCAUUUUAGUACUCAAAAUUACAAGGAGAUGAGAGAGUUGAUGAGCAUACAAUUUGAGCACAAGAUGUCCUUGUUGAAGAGUUCAAUAAGGGAAUAAAUUAUUUUCAUACUGUGUAGACUUUACUUUCUAAAGGGAAGAGUUCAUCAAUGAUAAAAAAUGUUACUUUGUGUUUCACAUUAAUGAUUCACUUCCUUUUAACAUUCUGGGUUUUAUGGCGAACAAAUAUCAACCCACAUACAUAUAAGUCAAAAACUCAUUUCAUCGACCACUUUUGAAGCUUUAAAGCAGCACAUUAAUCAUAUAUUUCUUACUUUUACAUACACCUGCCUCAAAACUUUCAUUAAUUCCAACUUGCAAAGUUAGGUACUACAAAAAAUAGACAACGAAAUUUUGAAUCACUUUCAUUAAUUCCAAUUCCAAUUCCAAUUAUAUGAAUUAUAUGAAUUUAUUACUGUAUUAUUUAUCAUUAAAAAAUUACAUUAAUUCAACUUGUUGAAAUUAAGAUGAUAUGCUUUGAGUAAUCUCAAAAAAGAUUCAAAGGUUUGGCUUGGAGAAGAAAGGAAGUCAACAAAACACUAGAAAUUAAUAAUAUAUUUUAAUAUACACUAAUUUUAAUUAGUGAUAUUUCUAAAUUAGAGUCAUCAUGAUUCAUGAUACAUUUAAAAUUAAGAAAGAAUAAACCAAUCUAAUUAUACUAUUAUUUGGUGCCUUAUUUAAUUUCAUUUCCAGCAUAGUAAAGUACAAAGCCACAAUUUCAAGAUCUCUGAAAUUACAAAACAAAAAAAUAAAUGAACAUACAAUACAGUUAUUAGAUGCCAUCAUAAAACAUAAAUGGCAACUUAUGGAAUAUUAUAUAUAAAGGUUUAUUGAAGAUAAUUUUUUUCUAGUGCAAGAAUUCAUUGUUUUCUGCACGAUAAUUGUGUGCACUCUUCUUGCGUAUGACUCCUAAAGGUAUACAAGUUCCAAGUAUGCACUUAUAAUCUAUAGUAGUAAAUUCGUACAGUUGUGGACAAUCUUCCACAUUUUCACAUUUAUAUAGUGCUGCAAUAAAAUAAGAAUGAAAUAAUGUGACUAAAUGAGAUAAAAUAUUGUAUUAAAAGUAUAAAGUAAAGAUUUUUUUUUAAAUGAUGAAAAUAUGGCUUACCAUCGACUUUCUUCACAACCAAAAAUAUUGAAAGAAAUAACACCAUAACAUAAAUACACUUGAGAGUUUUAUCCAUUUUUUUUCCUUUUUGCAUGUAGCAAAUAUAAAAUGAUUUGAUCACUUUAUAAUGCAAUGUAUUUGUCCCUUCAACAUAUUUAGUAAAAAGGUAACUUACAAAAUUUGAUAAUCA